CCUCUAAAACCCAUCCACUGGUGUCUCAGGUGCACCCAAAGGGAAAGCUGCUGGACUGUAACUAUAGAAGAUUCUAUUUCUGUAUAAGCCUUUGCCUGACAUGAGAAUCGUUUGAAGGCAGAACAGUGGGAUAGUGAAGGAAUAAGAAUUGGAUGGGGAUUCUAGAUCCCACACCUACAAAACCCUGAGUUUCCAGCCCUUAACAAUGUGUCCACCUGACUGGAGCAGCUGCCUCUGGGGAAACCACCUGUCCCUGGCCUGUUCUGCCGCUUCAUGGAUUUCAGGCAGGAGAAAGCCUCUGGUGGCCGGGGGAGCAAGCCCUGCUCCUCAGCUGUGGUGCCUGAGGGCCUCUCAGCAAGCCUUCCAUUCCAUGGGCUGGAUGAAUGGCACAUGCUGGGGCCUUACCACCAGCACCGCAAUCCAGCUCAUCCCCCCACCCCUGUUGGCAGGUGGGAGGCAGGGUGCCUUGGGGAGUUGGGAAGGGAAAGGGGGCCCUGGAUCCUAGCUGAGGGCAGUCAGGAGCCAGUCAGACCUUGAAAUUCCAGGAUGGCACAGGUCCUGGCUCUGCAGCUGUGAAGUCAUCAAAGAGCUUCUGAGGUCACUGUGCCUGGCACAGCCUCCUCUGCAGCCAGCCCCUAGGUUAGAAACAAGAUCUGAGAUGUUUGAAAGCUUAAAAAAAAAAAAUUGCAGGCCGGGCGUGGUGGCUCACGCCUGUAAUCCCUGCACUUAGGGAGGCCGAGGCGGGCGGAUCACCUAAGGUUGGGAGUUCGAGACCAACCUGACCAACAUGGAGAAACCCCGUCUCUACUAAAAAUACAAAAUUAGCUGGGCGAGGUGGUGAAUGCCUAUUAGUAAUCCCAGCUACUCGGGAGGCUGAGGCACGAGAAUCGUUUGAACCUGGGAAGCGGAGGUUGCCGUGAGCCGAGAUCAUGCCAUUGCACUCCAGCCUGGGCAACAAGAGCGAAACUCUCUCUCAAAAAAAAAAAAAAAAUUGCACCUU